rnacentral:sRNA from 1 species
GGCUUUUGAUACGCUUGUGG